GUGAGGAAUAUUGGUCAAUGGGCGGGAGCCUGAACCAGCCAAGUCGCGUGAAGGAAGAAGGAUCUAUGGUUCGUAAACUUCUUUUGCAGGGGAAUAAAGUGCAGGACGUGUCCUGUUUUGUAUGUACCCUGAGAAUAAGGAUCGGCUAACUCCGUGCCAGCAGCCGCGGUAAUACGGAGGAUCCGAGCGUUAUCCGGAUUUAUUGGGUUUAAAGGGUGCGCAGGCGGCGCGCCAAGUCUUCGGUGAAACUGCGGGGCUCAACCCCGCCGAGCCGAGGAAACGGGCGUGCUAGAGUUCGGCAGAGGCAUGCGGAAUGCGCGGUGUAGCGGUGAAAUGCAUAGAUAUCGCGCAGAACUCCGAUUGCGAAGGCAGCGUGCCAUGCCGCGACAGACGCUGAGGCACGAAAGCGCGGGGAUCGAACAGGAUUAGAUACCCCUGUAGUCC
rnacentral:rRNA from 1 species